CACAACGCAACGUCGUAUGACAAAUACAGCGAGGAAAAAAAUGCCUCGCUUCCUAGGGCGCGAGUUGUGCGCCCUCACUCAUUUUUGCAGUCUCUAUUCCGCACCUGGCAUAUCCGCCUGAGGGAAGAGGGGGAGAGGUUAAUCAACUGGGAAAAAAAUCAUGGACAUAGUUGGACGUCCACGGUUGUCCACCCUAUCGCACGACGAGUACUCUUCGACGAUGGUCCGUGGUAUUCGCGCACCGAGAAUCAAAAUGGCUACCCAUUUUCAACUGACGUUGUUCCCUGAUAAUACCGUGUAUAAUUUAGUUAAUACUGCCACGACCAUUUCCUGUAAUGCAUAUGCUGCCUGAUCGAAGCGUCAGCGAACAGAUAUAACAGAUCAUUUUUUCCC